GACGGGGGGAGCAAGCGUUGUUCGGAUUUACUGGGCGUAAAGGGCGUCUAGGCGGAUUAGUAAGUCAGGUGUGAAAUCCUCCGGCUUAACUGGGGAACUGCACUUGAAACUACUGGUCUUGAGUUCGGAAGAGGAAAGCGGAAUUCCUGGUGUAGCGGUGAAAUGCGUAGAUAUCAGGAAGAACACCAGUGGCGAAGGCGGCUUUCUGGUUCGAUUCUGACGCUGAAGCGCGAAAGUGUGGGGAG
rnacentral:rRNA from 1 species